rnacentral:rRNA from 2 species
ACUUAAAUUGAAGAGUUUGAUCAUGGCUCAGAUUGAACGCUGGCGGCAGGCCUAACACAUGCAAGUCGAGCGGUAGCACAGAGAGCUUGCUCUCGGGUGACGAGCGGCGGACGGGUGAGUAAUGUCUGGGAAACUGCCUGAUGGAGGGGGAUAACUACUGGAAACGGUGGCUAAUACCGCAUAAUGUCGCAAGACCAAAGUGGGGGACCUUCGGGCCUCAUGCCAUCAGAUGUGCCCAGAUGGGAUUAGCUAGUAGGUGGGGUAACGGCUCACCUAGGCGACGAUCCCUAGCUGGUCUGAGAGGAUGACCAGCCACACUGGAACUGAGACACGGUCCAGACUCCUACGGGAGGCAGCAGUGGGGAAUAUUGCACAAUGGGCGCAAGCCUGAUGCAGCCAUGCCGCGUGUGUGAAGAAGGCCUUCGGGUUGUAAAGCACUUUCAGCGGGGAGGAAGGCGUUAAGGUUAAUAACCUUGGCGAUUGACGUUACCCGCAGAAGAAGCACCGGCUAACUCCGUGCCAGCAGCCGCGGUAAUACGGAGGGUGCAAGCGUUAAUCGGAAUUACUGGGCGUAAAGCGCACGCAGGCGGUCUGUCAAGUCGGAUGUGAAAUCCCCGGGCUCAACCUGGGAACUGCAUUCGAAACUGGCAGGCUAGAGUCUUGUAGAGGGGGGUAGAAUUCCAGGUGUAGCGGUGAAAUGCGUAGAGAUCUGGAGGAAUACCGGUGGCGAAGGCGGCCCCCUGGACAAAGACUGACGCUCAGGUGCGAAAGCGUGGGGAGCAAACAGGAUUAGAUACCCUGGUAGUCCACGCCGUAAACGAUGUCGAUUUGGAGGUUGUGCCCUUGAGGCGUGGCUUCCGGAGCUAACGCGUUAAAUCGACCGCCUGGGGAGUACGGCCGCAAGGUUAAAACUCAAAUGAAUUGACGGGGGCCCGCACAAGCGGUGGAGCAUGUGGUUUAAUUCGAUGCAACGCGAAGAACCUUACCUGGUCUUGACAUCCACAGAACUUUCCAGAGAUGGAUUGGUGCCUUCGGGAACUGUGAGACAGGUGCUGCAUGGCUGUCGUCAGCUCGUGUUGUGAAAUGUUGGGUUAAGUCCCGCAACGAGCGCAACCCUUAUCCUUUGUUGCCAGCGGUUAGGCCGGGAACUCAAAGGAGACUGCCAGUGAUAAACUGGAGGAAGGUGGGGAUGACGUCAAGUCAUCAUGGCCCUUACGACCAGGGCUACACACGUGCUACAAUGGCAUAUACAAAGAGAAGCGACCUCGCGAGAGCAAGCGGACCUCAUAAAGUAUGUCGUAGUCCGGAUUGGAGUCUGCAACUCGACUCCAUGAAGUCGGAAUCGCUAGUAAUCGUAGAUCAGAAUGCUACGGUGAAUACGUUCCCGGGCCUUGUACACACCGCCCGUCACACCAUGGGAGUGGGUUGCAAAAGAAGUAGGUAGCUUAACCUUCGGGAGGGCGCUUACCACUUUGUGAUUCAUGACUGGGGUGAAGUCGUAACAAGGUAACCGUAGGGGAACCUGCGGUUGGAUCACCUCCUUACCUUAAAGAA